GACGAACGCUGGCGGCGUGCUUAACACAUGCAAGUCGAACGGAAAGGCCCUGCUUUUGUGGGGUGCUCGAGUGGCGAACGGGUGAGUAACACGUGAGUAACCUGCCCCUGACUUUGGGAUAACUUCAGGAAACUGGGGCUAAUACCGGAUAGGAGCUCCUGCUGCAUGGAGGGGGUUGGAAAGUUUCGGCGGUUGGGGAUGGACUCGCGGCUUAUCGGCUUGUUGGUGGGGUAGUGGCUUACCAAGGCUUUGGCGGGUAGCCGGCCUGUGAGGGUGACCGGCCACAUUGGGACUGCGAUACGGCCCAGACUCCUACGGGAGGCAGCAGUGGGGAAUAUUGCACAAUGGGCGGAAGCCUGAUGCAGCAACGCCGCGUGCGGGAUGACGGCCUUCGGGUUGUAAACCGCUUUCGCCUGUGACGAAGCGUGAGUGACGGUAAUGGGUAAAGAAGCACCGGCUAACUACGUG
rnacentral:rRNA from 1 species